GGGGCGACUGGCUGCACCGGGGCCGAGAGCCCUUUUCGGCUUCGAAGAAGCUGAUUACCCUAGUCCUUUGACACUCCCAUCUAUCCCUCUCCUUUGCCUCUGCAUAGUCUUGCUCGAUAGAACAUGUAACCGAAGCCGAAACCGUUCGGUAAGCAGAAUUCCCGUUUCACAGCACCUAAAUGCAAGCACGCUGCGCGAACCUCCUAUUCGUGUAGGUCAUGGAGGUAAGCUGCCCUCCCUGUUGCUGUUGACCGACGCAGGUUUGGGACAGUGCAGCCGGUGGCUCGGGGUGUAUCUUGCUUAUGGGAUGCAGCUGGCUGCUGCUUCACAAGAUAUACUUGCGUUUGGCCCGCGAAAAUAGCAUCAGCUGGUCUCGAUCGGAG
rnacentral:lncRNA from 1 species